AGGCUCUCAGAACACAGCAUAUGGUCAUGGCGCAACUUACUUAGCCUAGCAUCCACACCAUGCAAAGAUGAAAAGGCCAGGCACCAGAAUUAACUUUAUAUACAACGGUGUCUCAAACACAGGGAGCACUCAACUCUAGGCUAACCUAUUACAAUCUUUCCAAAAUUUAGGCUGCCGAGGAGUACAACAAAAGAAAGAUCCCCUGAGAACCCGCAAUCUACCAAUGGAUGCUAUGGGUAGG
rnacentral:lncRNA from 1 species